rnacentral:misc_RNA from 1 species
UCUUUCAGAGCGUCUACUCCCUGCCUCCACGCACCGACAGCAAUCCAAAAAGCAGCAUGAGCUCCACUUUCACUGCACUGGAUGACCUGGAGCGCGAAAUGAACAGGUAUUUAAAUGACACACAGGCCACUGGCUGUGGAGACAUAGGGCCAGUGCUUUUUCAUUCUGCCAGAGUACAAAUGGAGAUUCAGGAUCUGAGUCAGCGCGUUCAGCAAAAGAGUAUUGCCCUGGAAGACAGGGCACGAAGCUCGUGACAGGACGCAAUGUGUCCUUUUCAAUAGCUCAUGGUCUGCCUGCAACAAACACGAUAAGAAGACUUGUGCUCGCACAACUAGCAACCCAGAUAAAGAAGAGAACGACAACUCCGUAUCGCGAUGGCAAGGCUUUUCUGGUGGUCACUUUCAUCUUUGAGGUGAGCGCAGUGGCUGAAGGGGCGAGGUAUAUGAUGUUCCUGCGGUGUACAUGAUCUAGGCAACUCUGCUACUCACUUGACUGACCGCUUUCUCAUUCUAACUGCCUUCUAUGCUUCACUAUUACUCACCGUGAUUUGCAUUCUCUAUAAG